AGAAAUUAGCAAGAAAUGAUAGAGCAUGAAAACUCAUCUGGAAAACAAUCGAUCAUUCAGAGAUGACUCUUAUUUUGGUUCAUUUAAAUGUGUGUGUCUUCCAGGGAAGCUGGACUCAGGACGCAGGCCUCCCUUCACAGCCCCACGUCCACUAAGCAUUAAGGCCGCAGACCUCUCUCUUCCACUGCUGACCUCCUUGCUGCAUUUUCUGCUGGUCACCUUCAGGUGCACCUCCUCUGGACAUCAUCUCUGUAAACCUCUACUUUGGCCACCCUGUGUUCCAAUGGUGGCUUGUUCAUUCAGUCGUUCAUUCAACAAAAGCUUAGAGUGGUGGCCAGAUUGCUCAGUAGGUUAGAGCGCGAGCUCUGAACAACAGGGUUACCGGUUCAAUUCCCGCAUGGGACAGUGAGCUGCGCCCUCCACAACUAGAUUGAAGACAACGAGGUGCUGCUGAGCUUCCAGAGGGGCUCCCGGAUGGCUCAGCUGGUUAGAGCGCGAGCUCUUAACAACAGGGUUACCGGUUCAAUUCCUGCAUGGGGUGGUGGGCUGUGCCCCCUGCAACUAAAGAUUGAAAACGGUGACUGGACUUGGAGCUGAGCUUCACCCUCCACAGCUGGAUUGAAGGAUGACUUUGAGCUGAUGGGCCCUGGAGAAACACACUGUCCCCCAAUAUUCCCAAAUAAAAAAUUUAAAAACAAAAAAAAACCCAAAUGCUUAGAGUACCCCAAGUGUGGGUGUUUGGAAUUGUAUUGGAGCGUCAGUGUGGAGCAAAGCAGAGGUGUAGUUCCCCAUUGAGAUUACAGUCUAGCUAGAAUAGGGGGAAAACGUUUGCAGUAAGAGGACUGUUUCCCCCGUUGCUACCACCUUACAGCCAGUGGUGAACUAAUCACAGCCUGCCUCUGGCUGGAGUCCGGAAGAACAGAUGUAAGAGGCUGCUGGUGACGCCCUUCAGGGUGAUCCUUUUGAAAACAUCUGCUUUUGCUUUGUUCCCAGUGGAUUUGUUUUUCUUUCCUAAUGGACAUUGCAGUAAUAACCAAUAAGAAUGGGGUAAGUAAUGACCAAGAUGAAUGAGAGGAGUCCCUUUGCAAGGUGUGCAUGUCACCUCAUGCCAUCGUGGCCAGUGAGUGGCACAGGAGGGCCCUCUGGCUCUGACGGGUGGUCUGCAGGUGCAGAGGGAGUGAGCAUGAAGGGAGAAGUGUGCUGAGAAGUCUGCUGGUUCACAGAGGGGCCAUUGAGCACGGUGCCCCAAUGCGGAUGGCUUGCUCCUGAGUGAACAUCAGCCGUCAGCUGCCCACUUGCGCUCGCCCAGACGCGACUAGCGCACUGGCCGCGCAGGCUCACGUCUGCCAUGGAGCCUCCACGCCCUGUGCUAGUCUCCUGCUGCUGCUGUAGCAAAUUACCAGGAACUCAGUGGCUCUAAACAGCAUAGAUUUAUUACCUUUGGCUCUGGAGGUCAGGGUCCUAAAGGGAAGGUGCUGCGGGUCAUCCUUCUGGUCCCUAUAGAGGAGAAUCCACUUCUUUGUUCUUCCCCAACAUUAGAGGCUGCCUGCAUGCAUUCCUAGCUACUGUGUGUCCCCAAAAAUAAGACCUAGCCGGACCAUCAGCUCUAAUGUGUAUUUUGGAGCAAAAAUUAAUAUAAGGCCUGGUAUUAUUUUAUAUUUUAUAUUGUAUCACAUUAUAUAAGACCCGGUCUUAUAGAAAAAUAAGACCGGGUCUUACAUUAAUUUUUGCUCAAAAAGAUGCAUUACAACUGAUGGUCUGGCUAGGUCUUAUUUUUGGGGAAACACGGUAGUGAGCCCUUUGUGUACAAAGCUAGCCUCUCUGGGUCUUCUGAUAUCCUCCCUCCCUCUCGUGGAGCUUGUAGUCUACUGCAAACAUAAUUACAAACAAAGGUAUAAAUGCAAUAUCCUGAGUUUACAUGUGAGAUAAUGGAGACUCAGGUGAAGUCAGUUGCCUAAAAGACUUAGUGAUCAGAUGGAGUAGUUAGUUCUAAGUUCUGCUCAGAUUUCGGAAUUCCAGGCCAGAGCACUUUUCGUCGCCAGGAUGAUACAGUUCCCCUCAACAGGUGUUCAGGAGGAUUUAAUCUCCCAACUUCUGAAGGAGAAGCUUUGAGCUGACAUUUAGAUGGG
ensembl:lncRNA